UACGUAGGGCGCAAGCGUUGUCCGGAAUUAUUGGGCGUAAAGAGCUCGUAGGCGGUCUGUCGCGUCUGCCGUGAAAACCCGAGGCUUAACCUCGUGGCUUGCGGUGGAUACGGGCAGACUAGAGGUAGGUAGGGGAGAAUGGAAUUCCCGGUGUAGCGGUGAAAUGCGCAGAUAUCGGGAGGAACACCGGUGGCGAAGGCGGUUCUCUGGGCAGUAACUGACGCUGAGGAGCGAAAGCGUGGGGAGCGAACAGG
rnacentral:rRNA from 1 species